CCUUGAGUCAAGAUGAAAUCAAGCCAUAAACUGGAGUCCUUUGUGGGCUCCCACAGACAUGAGCCACAAGACAGUGCAAAAACAGAGAAAGGAAGAGAUUAGAGCCCCCAGUCUGCUCUGAGGGGACAUGUGGCUUUGAGCUCCACUUAGAUGCCCAUGCCGAGGGACACAGCCGCCCCAUGGCAGACGCAGAGUCAACAGUGGCCUGGAGAUGGAAAAACACGGCUAAAAACAAGAGCCUUUGAAACAGACCUUUUUUGUGGACAACUGGAAGGAGGCGGAGCCAAAUGUUUAACGGCUAAUGGGAGCAGAAGUGGAGACCCCCUCCCCUCCCCUCCCCCCAGGGACACCACAGUGUUUCCACAGCGGGCUGCCGGGCUGGGCUGCAGCUCAGUUGGUAGAGCGCUUGACGGCAACUCUGGAUUCUACCCGCAGUACCACACAACCUAGGUGUGGUGACGCACAAACCUGACGCUCAGGAAGUGGAGGCAGGAGGACCGUGGCUUUGGUCAAGGGACGGCAUCAUGAGGGCGUCUGUCCUGCGAGGUUAGGGAGGAGAUUUUCUGGGAUAGGACAGGGUCCCGCAGCUUUUGCAGUCAGAGUCUUCAGAGCCCCCUGCCCUCACAGAUGGCCUGGCCUACCUGUUCUAGCCAAUACUCACAGAGUCAGGUGACUUCCGUCUCCGAGGGGUGGCCCCCACAACAGUGCGCCCUGCAAGACAGCAAAGCCCACUUUAGAGGCUCCCCGGGUUUUACCUAUAUGUAUUUUUCUUGUAAGUA